rnacentral:rRNA from 1 species
UGGGGGAUAUUGCACAAUGGGGGAAACCCUGAUGCAGCAACGCCGCGUGAAGGAAGAAGGUCUUCGGAUUGUAAACUUUUGUCUUUAGGGAAGAAACAAAUGACGGUACCUAAGGAGGAAGCCACGGCUAACUACGUGCCAGCAGCCGCGGUAAUACGUAGGUGGCAAGCGUUGUCCGGAUUUACUGGGUGUAAAGGGCGUGUAGACGGGACUGCAAGUCAGAUGUGAAAUUUAUGGGCUUAACCCAUAACCUGCAUUUGAAACUGUGGUUCUUGAGUGAUGGAGAGGUAAGCGGAAUUCCUAGUGUAGCGGUGAAAUGCGUAGAUAUUAGGAGGAACACCGGUGGCGAAGGCGGCUUACUGGACAUUAACUGACGUUGAGGCGCGAAAGUGUGGGGAGCAAACAGG